UAUUCAAUAUGGUGGGGGAGAGGAAGAGAAAAAUUUAAGAUAAGAUAAUCGUUUUGCUGUUUUUGCUCUUCUGGAGGAUAUGGAGACCGAAAGUAGCUCACCCGGGACACCAGAGCACGAUACUGUGGAUGUGGGGGCUCUUCGUGCCAGGAUAUUACAGAUGGAGCAAAGCCAAGAAGAACAGGCCAGAACACGGCAAGCACAGGAAGCAGAGUUUGGACGAAAAAGGGCCCAGUUUAUGGACAUGUUUAAGAAGAAAGAGG